UACGAAGGGGGCAAGCGUUGUUCGGAAUUACUGGGCGUAAAGGGCGCGUAGGCGGGUUGUUAAGUCGGGGGUGAAAUCCUGGAGCUCAACUCCAGAACUGCCUUCGAUACUGGCGACCUUGAGUCCGGGAGAGGUGAGUGGAACUCCGAGUGUAGAGGUGAAAUUCGUAGAUAUUCGGAAGAACACCAGUGGCGAAGGCGGCUCACUGGCCCGGUACUGACGCUGAGGUGCGAAAGCGUGGGGAGCAAACAGG
rnacentral:rRNA from 1 species